rnacentral:snRNA from 1 species
GGGAAUGUGAGAGACCUGGUUGUGGCAUCUGUCACCUCAUUGACAGCCUGGGUUGAUCAGGUUGACCUGGCUGGAGAGGUGGGUGUCCCCUUCCUCCCUCGUGGCUCUGUGUGUGUGUCCCCUGAAGCCAGGUGCUCUACCAAAGAGAAGGGGCCACAGAAGAGGGCCGGGAUCUGGGUGAGAAUGAAGAGCUG